GACGAACGCUGGCGGCGUGCUUAACACAUGCAAGUCGAACGGAAAGGCCCUGCUUUUGUGGGGUGCUCGAGUGGCGAACGGGUGAGUAACACGUGAGUAACCUGCCCUUGACUUUGGGAUAACUUUAGGAAACUGGGGCUAAUACCGGAUAGGAGCUCUUGCUGCAUGGUGGGGGUUGGAAAGUUUCGGCGGUUGGGGCUGGAUUGGCGGCUUACCCGCUAGUUGGUGGGGUAGUGGCUUACGAAGGCUUUGACGGGUAGCCGGCCUGAGAGGGGGACCGGCGACAUGGGGACUGAGAGAGGGCGCAGAAGGCUACGGGAGGCAGCAGGCGGGAGCAUUGCACAGUGGGCGGAAGCGUGAUACAGCAACGCCGCGUGCGGAAUGACGGCCUUCGGGUUAUAAACCGCUUUCGCAGGUGACGAAGCGGGAGUGACGGUAAUUGGUAAAGAAGCAACGGCUAACUACGUG
rnacentral:rRNA from 1 species